rnacentral:rRNA from 1 species
CCUACGGGAGACAGCAGUGAGGAAUAUUGGUCAAUGGACGCAAGUCUGAACCAGCCAUGCCGCGUGCAGGAAGACGGCUCUAUGAGUUGUAAACUGCUUUUGUACGAGGGUAAACACAGAUACGCGUAUCUGGCUGAAAGUAUCGUACGAAUAAGGAUCGGCUAACUCCGUGCCAGCAGCCGCGGUAAUACGGAGGAUCCGAGCGUUAUCCGGAUUUAUUGGGUUUAAAGGGUGCGUAGGCGGUCUGAUAAGUUAGAGGUGAAAUGCCGGGGCUCAACCCCGGAACUGCCUCUGAUACUGUUGGGCUAGAGAGUAGGUGCGGUAGGCGGAAUGUAUGGUGUAGCGGUGAAAUGCUUAGAGAUCAUACAGAACACCGAUUGCGAAGGCAGCUUACCAAACUAUGUCUGACGUUGAGGCACGAAAGCGUGGGUAGCAAACAGGAUUAGAUACCCGUGUAGUC